rnacentral:rRNA from 1 species
GGCCUUUUGGAGAUUUAUAUAAAAGGUUGGGCCUGCCCGGUGAUCUGAAAUGGUUUAACGGCUGCGAUUGAAACCGUACUAAGGUAGCAUAAUAAUUUGCCCUUUAAUUGGGGGAGAGAAUGAAUGGUUUGACGGUAAAAAAGCUGUUUUAAAAAUAAAAAAAGAAGUUAACUUUUAAGUGAAAAGGCUUAAGUUUUUAUAAAAGACGAGAAGACCCCGUCGAGCUUAAUUAGAAUAACUUAAAUGUAGGUUAUUUAAAAUUUUAUUGGGGCAAUAGAAAAUGAAAUGAAUCAUUUUUUUUUAUUAUAAGGAUCCAGUUUUGACUGAAAAAAGCAAAAGCUACCGCGGGGAUAACAGGGUAAUUUUUUCUGAGAGUUCAUAUUUAAGAAGAAGUUUGCUACCUCGAUGUUGGAUUAGAAUUUCUUUAUGCUUGC